GACGUAGGGGGCGAGCGUUGUCCGGAUUCAUUGGGCGUAAAGCGCGCGUAGGCGGUUCGGAAAGUCGGAUGUGAAAACCCGGAGCUCAACUCCGGGCCUGCAUCCGAUACUCCCGGACUAGAGGUAGGUAGGGGAGAUCGGAAUUCCUGGUGUAGCGGUGAAAUGCGCAGAUAUCAGGAGGAACACCGGUGGCGAAGGCAGCACUCUGGGACGUGACUGACGCUGAGACGCGAAAGCGUGGGGAGCAAACAGG
rnacentral:rRNA from 1 species